CGUCCCUGCAGCGCCCGGCCGGUCCGCGGCGCUCGGGGUGCUGCCGGAGGGCGCAGCUCCGCGGCCAGACCUCGACAGCGCACGGUUCUGGUGGCUCCGAUCCUCUGAUUUUUCAGCGCUGGCUGCUUUGUCGAGCAGGUUUGUUACGUGCGGCCACGAACACAGCACCUGGCUUUGUGCAGCUCUUGGCUUUGCCUGACCUAUAGACCACAGUUCCCCUAGGGACCGGCCACCUGCUGCUACGGUUUAUUUUUCUAGAAGCCUGUCCUCCGGCUUCUGAAUGCGAAACGGGGACAGAACCACCCGCAAGCAAGUCACAUUCAGAACAUUUCCCCAUCCUCCCCUCUUCCAGGAGCUUUUUGGAUGGCCUUACUCCCUAGACCUCCCAUCUGCUCCAAAGCUCGCAUUUGGAACCAGGAAUUGUAUCUUGUCUGCAAACCGGACGAUGGGGAGCGAGCCACGUUCCAGCGGUCGCUGUAAAGAGGCAUUUCCCGUGUACAGUUAGCACAGGCUGAGGCGCUGCGCGGGCUGCUCAGAUAACCGUUACCAGCAGCAGACGGCCUCCAGCUCAGGGCUUGACCGAUACCCCCUGCCCUCCUGAACAGGAGAGGACACCAGAUACAACAUUGCUACUUUGCUUUUCCCAGGUUUCGGGAGAAGCUGAAGUUAAGCUAAAAGAAUUGAUCCAGGGAUGGCUCAUUUGAAACGUCCCCCACGUUGAAUCCACAGCUAUCCUCAGGAAAGGCGUUCACUGCCCACCCCCGGAAUUACCAGCGUUCUUGAUGAGAAAUUCACCUUUCGUAUUUUUAAGCCCUUGAAAGGAGGUAGUUGAAAGGGAAUUCCAAACACUGUCUUUAACUGAGACUUUUAUUUACAGAAAUUAUCUUUGAGCAUUUCUUUGCAAGAUACCUGUACCAUUGAGUCUAGAGUAGCAGUUCUCGCUCACCUCUGUUGCUCUGUGCUAAUCUCCACAGGGGGAGGGGGGGAAAAUUACCCUGGAAAAUUAAAAUACCUUUAUAGCACUGUCCAAAUUUAUCUGCUACCUGCAUAACAGACUCUAGGAUUCAGGUUAAGCAAGUCAGUGCACAGAAAGACCAA